UCUCAGUAACGUAGCUAACGCGUGAAGUUGACCGCCUGGGGAGUACGGUCGCAAGAUUAAAACUCAAAGGAAUUGACGGGGACCCGCACAAGCGGNGGAUGAUGUGGAUUAAUUCGAUGCAACGCGAAAAACCUUACCUACCCUUGACAUGCCACUAACGAAGCAGAGAUGCAUUAGGUGCCCGAAAGGNAAAGUGGACACAGGUGCUGCAUGGCUGUCGUCAGCUCGUGUCGUGAGAUGUUGGGUUAAGUCCCGCAACGAGCGCAACCCUUGUCUCUAGUUGCUACGCAAGAGCACUCUAGAGAGACUGCCGGUGACAAACCGGAGGAAGGUGGGGAUGACGUCAAGUCCUCAUGGCCCUUAUGGGUAGGGCUUCACACGUCAUACAAUGGUGCGUACAGAGGGUUGCCAACCCGCGAGGGGGAGCUAAUCCCAGAAAACGCAUCGUAGUCCGGAUCGUAGUCUGCAACUCGACUACGUGAAGCUGGAAUCGCUAGUAAUCGCGGAUCAGCAUGCCGCGGUGAA
rnacentral:rRNA from 1 species